UACGUAGGGUGCGAGCGUUAAUCGGAAUUACUGGGCGUAAAGGGUGCGUAGGCGGGUUUUUAAGUCAGAGGUGAAAUCCUGGAGCUCAACUCCAGAACUGCCUUUGAUACUGAAAGUCUUGAGUAUGGGAGAGGUGAGUGGAACUGCGAGUGUAGAGGUGAAAUUCGUAGAUAUUCGCAAGAACACCAGUGGCGAAGGCGGCUCACUGGCCCAUUACUGACGCUGAGGCACGAAAGCGUGGGGAGCAAACAGG
rnacentral:rRNA from 1 species